GCUCCAGUGGCGCAAUCGGUCAGCGCACGGUACUUAUAAUGCCGAGGUUGUGAGUUCAAGCCUCACCUGGAGCA